UGUGCUGUAAGUUCCCAGAAAAAUUGUUUGAAAUCUGACCAAUAUCAAGGCCAUUUUAAUGCCAUGUGCACUUGAUAUUAAUGAAAAGAAGUGAGAAUUAUCCACCAGGAAGUCGAAAAUCAAAACCAAAAUGAAUAAUCUAACCAAAAUCUAUUAUUAAGUGAGAUUAACUAAAAAAAAUAAUAUAUAUUUUUACUCCUAUAACAUUACGAUUUAUAUAACAUUAAAAUUAUAGAGAAUUAUAUUUUAAUAAACAUUAAAAAAAAAUUAUUAUAUUUUAUCAAUAAAUUUGUAUAUAUUAAAAUAUAUAUUAUUAUUUAGAAUAUAAAUGAUGUAUAGUAAUUUAUAUAAGAAUGCAGUAUUAUCAUUUCAAAGUAUUAUACAAAUUAUAUAUACUUUUAAAACUAUUGGGAUUUUGUUUUUAUAUGUGCAUGAAAGUCUAAGUAUUUUGAGGUAUUAUAAAAGUCUAUAAAAUAUGUUUAUGAGGCUUUAGUUUUAUAAGUCUCAGUUGGACCUUUAAUAGUAACUGAUGGCUUUGCUAUAAGACUGUCGGAUGAUGUUUAGCGCAGGAAAUAGUGACAAUACAGGUGUUUUCCCGCCAAAAUACAACAUUACAGGUGUUUUCCCGCCAAAAUACGACAUUACAGGUGUUUUCCCGCCAAAAUACGACAUUACAGGUGUUUUCCCGCCAAAAUACGACAUUACAGGUGUUUUCCCGCCAAAAUACGACAUUACAGGUGAUUUCCCGCCAAAUUUACCAGAAAACUAUCAAAUACAAAUGUUUCCCGCCAAAAAUAACCUGAAAAUUUUGGCAUAAAUAAAAACCAUCAAAAACGACAAAAAUCUGCCCAAAUACACCAGAAAAUAGUAUUAAUCCUAAGGUAUUAAUUCUUCCCAAUACAUAUCAUACAAAACAUGUAUAUUUUCAUACAUACAUCAUGCUGUGCAUUAUGUAUAAAAUAUUUUUUUUUCCAUUCAUAUGUUAUCCUACCAUCUGGGAGUUCAUUGAUUUAUUAAAAUAUAUAUAAAAUCGU